GUUCCAUUGUAGUUGCUCAAUAAUAAUGGUGAUUAUAUUAUUUGGGGUCACAUGUUAACUUAUGUGCAUUGGGUUUUAUAAUCUCAGACUACAUUGCUAACUGCACAAAGCCAGGAAUCACUUUCAUUUUCUUUCACUUCUCAAAAGGCUCUAACUGUUCUCAAUGUACCCUGUGGCUGACCAUAAAGACAUAGCACAAUGUUCAUUUUAACACAAAUGACUGCCAGUGACAAAAGUCUUCAGCCAUUCCACUUGGUGACAUGAUUAUCUUUGCCUCACAGGAAUUUUGAAAAGUUUCAUGGAAGGAAGUGAAAGUUAUCAGAGAGCAGGAAGAUAACCACAAUUAGUCCAGCCAACAAGUUAUUUAUGACCCACCCUUAUCACAUCGUUGAAAGCUGGCCAGAUGUGACACUUACAAAUAGUGGGCAAUCUCAGUUCCUUAAUUAAAGACUAAAUAAAAGUCAAAUAUUACCAGUAAUUACUAUAUGACAUGGUAAUUAUUCUUCAAAAAGGGAAGAAAAGCCAAGCUUAUUAAGCAUCUGCUCAGAGUGAAGAAGGGCAGAGGUGGCGGAGGGCUUUAUACUCAAGGGCACACACACACUGCCUUAUGGGAAGAGCCUCCUUUGCUGGCUCUGGCCUCAUACUCCAGGUAGUAUCUCUUCUCUUGGUUUACUGCCCACCCCUCCUCUAUUGGAAGAGACAGAAGUUCAGUUUACACAUUCCAUUCCCCCUCCUAUUGAAAUGUUCCAGCAUAACUGUAUCUUCAGACACAAAGUCAUGUUCCUUGGUGAAUCACUAGGAGUCCCUGAUUCUCUCACACCAACAGAGACUCUACUAUCCUGUGAUCUGUGCCCCAAAGGCCCAUGUGUUGAAGGCUUGGCACUGAUAGGAGCAGGUAGAGCCUAGUCGGAGGAAGUUGUAUUAUAGGGAGCAUGUCCUUGGAGGGACUAUUGGGACAUUGGUCCCACCCCUUCCUCUUUGUUUCCUAACUACCAUGAGGUGGGCAUCUACUUCUGCCAGGUACUCCCCACUAUGAUGUACAACCUCCACCAGAAGCCCAAAGGCAAUGGGGUCAAACAACCAUCGACUGAAACCUCUGAGUCUGUCAACCAAAACAAACCUUUCCUCCUUAUACAUUGAUUACCCCAGGUAUUUUGUUACAGCGAUGGGAAGCUGACUAACAGAAUCCUUUAGGCAGCCUUUACACUGUGAACAGAUUUCAGCUCCUCAUAUCACAAAUAAUAACAGUGAUAAUUUCUAUCGAAACAAUGAUUUUACGAAGAAAUUUUGACUAGACGAAGCCAUAAGAUAUAUCCAGAAUCCAACCUGAGAACAUUAUCUUUACUAAGGGUAGGGUGACUCCAAAAAUUACAUGCGAAGAUAACCUCUAAAAUUAUGUGGGAUAAAUUCCACAUGGUGACUGUUCUUUUAUAUAUUCAUGGAUUCAGUUUGCUAAUAUUUUGUUAAGGAUCUUUACAUCUAAACACAUGGGGUACAUGAGUCGGUAGUUUUUAUGUCUUUAGCAG
rnacentral:lncRNA from 1 species